rnacentral:tRNA from 1 species
GCCCCUGUAGCUUAGUAGGUAGAGCGUACGGCUGUUAACCGUAAGAUCACCAGUUCGAGUCUGGUCAGGGGCG